GUUUAAUAAUAUUUUAAACUAAUUUCAAAAUUAGCAAAAAUAUUUAAAUAUAAUUUCGAAAAUGAAGAUCUUGUAAAAAUCUUUUUUAAACAGAUUUGUUAGAAUUUUAAAAUAAAUAUAUUUAUAUUUAAAUUGAAAAGAUAUCAAAAGAUAUUAUGAUUAAAAUAUUUUAAAAAUUGUAUUUAUUAUUAGUGUGAACUAAAAUGUAAUAUGAAAUUCUAUGAAUAAUUCCAUUAGGUCCAUUUUUAAAAAAAUCACACAUGAAUCAAGGUUGUGACUUCUGUUUUAAUAUAUAAGAUUAACUAUUUUGCAAAGACCAAAUACUAAACUUAAAAAAAAAGACCGAAUACCAAAUCUCA
rnacentral:lncRNA from 1 species